rnacentral:rRNA from 1 species
CAAUAGCGUAUAUUUAAGUUGCUGCAGUUAAAAAGCUCGUAGUUGGAUUUCGGGUGGGAAUGGCCGGUCCGCCGUUUCGGUGUGCACUUGCUACGCCCACCUUGCUGCCGGGGACGUGCUCUUGAGUUCACGCUCGGGACACGGAGUCGGCGAGGUUACUUUGAGUAAAUUAGAGUGUUCAAAGCAGGCCUACGCUCUGAAUACAUUAGCAUGGAAUAACACGAUAGGACUCUGGCCUAUCUUGUUGGUCUGUAGGAUCGGAGUAAUGAUUAAGAGGGACAGUCGGGGGCAUUCGUAUUUCAUUGUCAGAGGUGAAAUUCUUGGAUUUAUGAAAGACGAACUACUGCGAAAGCAUUUGCCAAGGAUGUUUUCAUUAA